rnacentral:tRNA from 1 species
GGGCUUGUAACUCAGUGGUAGAGUGCCACAUUUGCAUGUAUCAACAGAAAUUGUGGAAGUCGGGGUUUCGACUACCCCCAAGUCCA